AUUAUCUGCUCCACUUGUUCCGGUUCAAUGUUAUCAAACUUAAUUUCUUAUAAAUAAGUUGUUUUGACAUAGUAUUCAAGCAUUUUUAUGUUAAUAACAAAAUGGCAGCAAAAUUUCUGUUCGUUUUCGUGGCAAUCCUGCUGCUGGUGACCGAAAUCCGUCCGGACUUGGGGGAUGAUGUUAAAUCGGGACUGAAGAAGGCAAAGGACGAAAUACACUGCGGACUGCACAAAGUGAAGAACUGGGUGUACAAACACGAGCACGGCUUUGGUGAUGACCCAUGCCAUAAACCUUUAGAAUAUAUAGCACCGUUAUGAAGAUAAAAAGGUGACCUUGGACAUAUAUAAGAGGCCAAGAAUGUUUGUUUAUAAUUUUAAUUGUCUUGUUUUGUUUAAAUAGAAUAAUAAGUAUAAUAAAAUUUACAUAAAGUGG